CAGUGGGACACCUCUCCCCAACGAGAGGCUAUAUACCUGGAAGGGUAGACUAU
rfam:Paracoccus aminophilus JCM 7686, complete genome.